rnacentral:rRNA from 1 species
UGAACGCUGGCGGCGUGCCUACUACAUGCACGUCGAGCGAACAGAUGAGGAGCUUGCUCCUCUGACGUUAGCGGCGGACGGGUGAGUAACACGUGGAUAACCUACCUAUAAGACUGGGAUAACUUCGGGAAACCGGAGCUAAUACCGGAUAAUAUAUUGAACCGCAUGGUUCAAUAGUGAAAGACGGUUUUGCUGUCACUUAUAGAUGGAUCCGCGCCGCAUUAGCUAGUUGGUAAGGUAACGGCUUACCAAGGCAACGAUGCGUAGCCGACCUGAGAGGGUGAUCGGCCACACUGGAACUGAGACACGGUCCAGACUCCUACGGGAGGCAGCAGUAGGGAAUCUUCCGCAAUGGGCGAAAGCCUGACGGAGCAACGCCGCGUGAGUGAUGAAGGUCUUCGGAUCGUAAAACUCUGUUAUUAGGGAAGAACAAAUGUGUAAGUAACUAUGCACGUCUUGACGGUACCUAAUCAGAAAGCCACGGCUAACUACGUG